UACAGAGGUCUCAACCGUUGUUCGGAUUCAUUGGGCGUAAAGGGUGCGUAGGCGGCGGGGUAAGUCAGGUGUGAAAUCUCGGGGCUUAACUCCGAAACUGCAUUCGAUACUGCCGUGCUUGAGGACUGGAGAGGAGACUGGAAUUUACGGUGUAGCGGUGAAAUGCGUAGAUAUCGUAAGGAAGACCAGUGGCGAAGGCGGGUCUCUGGACAGUUCCUGACGCUGAGGCACGAAGGUCAGGGGAGCAAACGGG
rnacentral:rRNA from 1 species